GCGGCGGUCCAACAGGCCGAACUCAGGUAAGAAAGCUUUUAUGAAUAGCGAGGCGAGUUGCUUUGUUUGUUUCUUACAGAAAGCGGUCUGUCGUUUUCAUAAUGUCAAAACAAGUGUAGGGAGAGAUUUCGUAUUGUAUUUUUUAUUACAUGUGAUGUUCUGAACUCUUAAAAAUACUCGCAUCUUCUUUUAUUUUUUCAGACCUGAAAAAAUGGCCGAGCCUAAACAGCCAGGCCUCAGACCACGGUGCCGAGGCGUUCUGACGGAGUCCACCAGGACAAAGAGAAAUUCAUACAGCAAGGCAGAGUGUGGUAAGCAGUAGAGAUCGAGAACAUGGCAGACGGAUAUGAGGACGGAGCCAUGAAGCCGACACUCCACAGAAUGGGAGUCACAUUUGUGUCAAUCAGACUCUUCAGGAACGUCCUGAUGUCCGUGAUGAGGACAGAGAUGCAACUGUGUCUGCAUCCAGGACCUACUGCCAGUCAUCUGGAUGUAGCUACAGAAAGAAGCAGCUGAUGGAGGAAGGCAGAGGGUACUGGCAG